ensembl:lncRNA
AGGAGAAGAAGCUGAGGCAGGCUGUCCCUGGAGGGCAAGGUCCAAUGCCGGAGACACAAGGUUCAUCAGGGACUUUGCACUUGCCAGACAAGCACUGUGCCGCUAAGCUACAUCCUUGGCCCUUCAUCCAGGUUCAUUCUUCGAGGAGCACAGGUUGUCCUGUGCUGGGUCCUGAGCAGGGAACAGACAAAAUCCUCAGCCUUCAAGUGGGGCAGCAGCAAUACAAGAAUAACAGAGGCCAGAGGCUGUAAAGGAGAGAAGACCAGGGAGGGAAUGGACUGUACAAGUCUUUGGGGUGUGGGGGAUUCUGAGCAGAGGGGCGACACA